GACGAACGCUGGCGGCGUGCUUAACACAUGCAAGUCGAACGGAAAGGCCCUGCUUGCAGGGUACUCGAGUGGCGAACGGGUGAGUAACACGUGGGUGAUCUGCCCUGCACUUCGGGAUAAGCCUGGGAAACUGGGUCUAAUACCGGAUAUGACCUUCCAUGUAGUGUGGGGGGUGGAAAGAUUUAUCGGUGUGGGAUGAGCCCGCGGCCUAUCAGCUUGUUGGUGGGGUAAUGGCCUACCAAGGCGUCGACAGGUAGCCGGCCUGAGAGGGUGGACGGCCACAUUGGGACUGAGAUACGGCCCAGACUCCUACGGGAGGCAGCAGUGGGGAAUAUUGCACAAUGGGCGGAAGCCUUAUGCAGCGACGCCGCGUGGGGGAUGACGGCCUUCGGGUUGUAAACCUCUUUCGACAGGGACGAAGCUUCGGUGACGGUACCUGUAUAAGAAGCACCGGCUAACUACGUG
rnacentral:rRNA from 1 species